rnacentral:rRNA from 1 species
GACGAACGCUGGCGGCGUGCCUAAUACAUGCAAGUAGAACGCUGAAGGAGGAGCUUGCUUCUCUGGAUGAGUUGCGAACGGGUGAGUAACGCGUAGGUAACCUGCCUGGUAGCGGGGGAUAACUAUUGGAAACGAUAGCUAAUACCGCAUAAGAGUAGAUGUUGCAUGACAUUUGCUUAAAAGGUGCAAUUGCAUCACUACCAGAUGGACCUGCGUUGUAUUAGCUAGUUGGUGGGGUAACGGCUCACCAAGGCGACGAUACAUAGCCGACCUGAGAGGGUGAUCGGCCACACUGGGACUGUGACCCGGCCCAGACUCCUACGGGAGGCAGCAGUAGGGAAUCUUCGGCAAUGGACGGAAGUCUGACCGAGCAACGCCGCGUGAGUGAAGAAGGUUUUCGGAUCGUAAAGCUCUGUUGUAAGAGAAGAACGAGUGUGAGAGUGGAAAGUUCACACUGUGACGGUAUCUUACCAGAAAGGGACGGCUAACUACGUG